rnacentral:lncRNA from 1 species
GCAGUGGUGAUGAGUAAUGACCUUCCAGGACCAACUGUUGCUGCUGCUGACUGAUCAUCUGUUUGGUGUGGAGGUUUUCUAUAGUAGUAUGGGAAAUAAGGCAAGAUAGGGUCAGGAGGGGGCUGACCAUAUAAAGAAUUACCUCCACCAUAAGGUGGUGGUGGAUAGUAAUAUGGUAAGUUCCCUGUAGGUGGAGGGUAUGCUCCUGUUUGGGAGGGUGGUGAGUAACUAGCUGGAGGUGUUUGUGUCACUGUGCCGCCGCCGCCUCCGCCGCCGGUGCCUGUUGGUGGUGGGAAACAUGGAUACGGACAUGGGUUAUCUUGCUUGGUUUGAAUAAAGAAGCUGAAGAAGAAAAAGAAGAAGAAGGUAAUGAGAGGUUUGUUAAGUA